CAGAGAAAGAGCAGGUAAAGUUGUGCAUGAUGGGCAAAGGAAUCUCCUGAGAUACUUCAGAGGGACCAGGACUGGAGUGAACAGCUGCAUUCAAGGGAGACUGAUUGCUCAGCCUCCACUCAAGAGGCUGCCCCAGGAGCAAUUAGGAGUUAGGAAUUAAGAGACUGACCAUGUCUAAUUGAGCAAAGCUGAGAGAGACCUACAUCAGAGGAGUGGAAUGAUGGACAAGCCAGUGUGGGAAGCAGAGAGCAUUAGUGGUUCCUGAGGCUUUCUCUCCCUACGUUGCCAUUGUGGUGAAUGGGCAGAGCUCUGGCUAAUCUUUUCCCUCCCAGUUUCUUCUUGAAGCUUGUGACUUCACCCCUCCUCCCUGAGUGGACUAUGAAGAUACUCUUGUUUUCUUUCUCAGAAUAGAUUCUCUCUGUGACAGAUUGAUUCUGUGGCCUUGACUUCCCAGAAGCCCUGUAAAAUCCUUGGAUGAGUGCUCAUGGGGAGAAGUUCUGGAGCCCUUGUCCCGACCAUUGGUCCCCAUCAGCUUGCUCCACUGGAGAAGGGAGGAGUAUGGUGGAAUGCACAUGAAUGCCAAAUUCCCUUUUCAUAUACCGAGAAGGAUUCUCCUCUAAAGAUCCCCUUUAAAUGUUUAAAUCACCAUUUAGCUGUCUUAGAAGCACUGGAUACAAGUGAUAAAGAGGCAGAAGAAAACAAUUACCAAUAUUUAGAGUUCAUCCCUAAAAGUAGGAUGGGAGGACGUGAUGAGGAAAUUGAGGUUCAAGAAGAUGACUUGCUUGUAAUCACCUAG
rnacentral:lncRNA from 1 species